GAUGAACGCUGGCGGCGUGCCUAAUACAUGCAAGUCGAGCGAGCAGACGAGGAGCUUGCUCCUCUGACGUUAGCGGCGGACGGGUGAGUAACACGUGGAUAACCUACCUAUAAGACUGGGAUAACUUCGGGAAACCGGAGCUAAUACCGGAUAAUAUAUUGAACCGCAUGGUUCAAUAGUGAAAGACGGUUUUGCUGUCACUUAUAGAUGGAUCCGCGCCGCAUUAGCUAGUUGGUAAGGUAACAGCUUACCAAGGCAACGAUGCGUAGCCGACCUGAGAGGGUGAUCGGCCACACUGGAACUGAGACACGGUCCAGACUCCUACGGGAGGCAGCAGUAGGGAAUCUUCCGCAAUGGGCGAAAGCCUGACGGAGCAACGCCGCGUGAGUGAUGAAGGUCUUCGGAUCGUAAAACUCUGUUAUUAGGGAAGAACAAAUGUGUAAGUAACUAUGCACGUCUUGACGGUACCUAAGCAGAAAGCCACGGCUAACUACGU
rnacentral:rRNA from 1 species